UCCGAGUUGUCCCCGGCAGUCUCCUACGAGUCCCCGGCAUAAUCCGCUGGCAACAUAGGACAAGGGUUGCGCUCGUUGCGGGACUUAACCCAACAUCUCACGACACGAGCUGACGACAGCCAUGCACCACCUGUGAUCCUGCCCGUAAGGGAAGCCGUGUUUCCACGGCGGUCAGGAACAUGUCAAACCCUGGUAAGGUUCUUCGCGUUGCGUCGAAUUAAACCACAUGCUCCGCUGCUUGUGCGGGUCCCCGUCAAUUCCUUUGAGUUUUAGCCUUGCGGCCGUACUCCCCAGGCGGGGCGCUUAAUGCGUUAGCUUCGGCACGGACGGAGUCGACACCGCCCACACCUAGCGCCCAUCGUUUACGGCAUGGACUAC
rnacentral:misc_RNA from 1 species